rnacentral:pre_miRNA from 1 species
UUAGCUCAUAUUUGUAUGAAAUGGGAUCGUUUGCGUACGUUUGCCGCUAGGGGCGCUGUUCCAACUGCUUACAAAUAUGAGUUA